CCAGACUCCUACGGGAGGCAGCAGUAGGGAAUCUUCGGCAAUGGACGGAAGUCUGACCGAGCAACGCCGCGUGAGUGAAGAAGGUUUUCGGAUCGUAAAGCUCUGUUGUAAGAGAAGAACGAGUGUGAGAGUGGAAAGUUCACACUGUGACGGUAUCUUACCAGAAAGGGACGGCUAACUACGUGCCAGCAGCCGCGGUAAUACGUAGGUCCCGAGCGUUGUCCGGAUUUAUUGGGCGUAAAGCGAGCGCAGGCGGUUAGAUAAGUCUGAAGUUAAAGGCUGUGGCUUAACCAUAGUACGCUUUGGAAACUGUUUAACUUGAGUGCAGAAGGGGAGAGUGGAAUUCCAUGUGUAGCGGUGAAAUGCGUAGAUAUAUGGAGGAACACCGGUGGCGAAAGCGGCUCUCUGGUCUGUAACUGACGCUGAGGCUCGAAAGCGUGGGGAGCAAACAGGAUUAGAUACCCU
rnacentral:rRNA from 14 species